UUAUCAUUAGGCGAUGAUUCAGAAACAUGUGUUAUUGGGUCAUUACUAUUACUACCGGAAGCGCCAUGUACCUCUUUUUUUAUUUCCACCCCUACCAGUAACUUUUCUACACGCUCUUUUAACAGCACUAAACAUAUUGUAAAAAUGAAAGUAUAAGCUAAAAUUAAAUAUGCAAUUAAAAUAUUAAAUAAGAGAAAGAGUUGGAGGGAAUGCACCGAUAAAAAUUAAAGUAUAAGCUGAAAUUAAAUAUGCAAUUAAAAUAUUAAAUAAGAGAAAGAGUUGGAGGGAGUGUACCGAAUUCGACAAUAAAUUGAGCACUUGAUUACGCAAAUCCGGUGUUAUCACGAACAAAAGUCAAGCAAGUAUUUUACUUUUGAACUUCAAGCUUCAAAUUCCGAUUGACAAAUUGCGAUAAAUUAAAUUCGGGAAAAGAGCGACAAAUAAAAUUAUAAAAUUAGAAUAUGAAAUCUUGCUAACUGAAGGGAAGAGAGAGUUUGAUAAUUUGAGAAUUGAGAUUGAGAUAAUAAUUUUGAGUGAAGAAAUGAAGAAGAGGGGAG
rnacentral:lncRNA from 1 species